AACGCACAUUGCGCCCUUUGGUAUUCCGAGGGGCAUGCCUGUUCGAGCGUCAUUUGCACUCUCAAGCUCUGCUUGGUGUUGGCGGCCGCCCCGCUGGGGCGCCGCCGAAACGCAGCGGCGACGUAGCUGGUUUCCUGGCGUAGUGACAUUUCUCUCGCCCCGGAACCGGUCGUGCGUCCGCCGGACAACGCCCCUAUUUUCAAUCGACCUCGGAUCAGGUAGGACUACCCGCUGAACUUAA
rnacentral:misc_RNA from 1 species